rnacentral:snoRNA from 1 species
UUGGAGAUCUAAGAAAGUAGAGUCAAAGGGGCUUUAUUGAUACUGUCCUCCUAAAUUAAAUGGUAGAAAACAGCUACCAUGGCUUCUGCAAGAUGGAGUCAGGAUUUACUUAAUCUACUGACAAUC